rnacentral:sRNA from 1 species
AUGCUCACAGAGCUGCGCCGAGUCGAAGUGGACAUGGACGUCGAUGCCCCCGGGGGUGACGAUCAGGCCUUCAGCGUCGCGGACGGUGGUCGCCACGCCACAGAUCAAUUGCGGGUGCACACCGUCCAUGACCUGCGGAUUGCCUGCCUUGCCGAUGGCGACGAUCUUGCCGUCCUUGAUGCCGAUGUCGCCUUUGACGAUGCCGAUCACCGGAUCGAUGAUCAGCGCGUUGCAGAUCAGCAUGUCGAGGGCGCCGUCGUCGCUGUCAUGCCCUGGCAUAAGUCCCAU